AUGCUUGUUUCAGCAGCACAUAUAGUAAAAGAUUAGCAUGGCUCCACACAAAGAUGACAUGAAAAUUCAAGAAGCACGCCAAUUUUUU
rnacentral:snRNA from 1 species